UCGACAUGCAGGCAACGGCUCUCCUAAUUUGAAAUUCACCUGUCGUGUUUCAUCCAGCGAAUUCAUCCUCGCACAACACUGAGAUGAAGGCGAAGUCACCAUGAAAAGUUAAACGUUUACCGUUAAGCUACAGUAAUUGAUGUUGAAAAACUGAUGCAACCAAUUACUCCUCACUUGAUUAUUCAAGCCCAGAUUGUGAUGGACCUGGAAUGCGACACCAGUUACUCUUAAGACAAGAACCGAAUAAUGCACAGAUGUGGAGGGAUUUGCAGCCAAACUAACUUGAGGGAAGGAACCUUUAGUGUGGGUGAACAAACUACCUGGAUGUCCAACAAAGGCUGCACAAGAGCUCAUUUGAUAGCACACAUUCUGUCCUGUCUACAUCUCUGAUGACCUGGAAGUGCUUCGACAUCAGAUCAUCAGAAGUGCUGCUGCCCUUUUUCACUGUCCCUUUCCACAUCAUUUGGCCUUCAUCAUUUCCUGUCUUGUAGCAGUAUUUUUACCUGUUUUUAAAAUUGUAAUAAUUUUUGAUGCAUUAAUUGUUGACUGGUUUUAAUGAUCAAUUGUUUAUUAGUGUUCUGUUGCUUUGUUAUAUUGAAUUAUUGCUACUGUUUUAGCAUGGUUUACACAAUAAACCUUUAUUUU
ensembl:processed_transcript